GAAGCUCCGUCGUCUCGUAACCCAUCGUUGGAAAAUGUGAGAGAAUUCCCAUAGCUUUGCUGAAAGUAGUUUCUUCAGGUGGUAGCUACAUUAUCUCUCAUGUUGACUAAAUAUUGUUGAGGCUAUAAAAGAUGGACUUUCUGGACCUUCACCUGCCAGGAAUUGAUUAGACGUUGUUGAAGUUGUUAUGGAAGAUGCACCUUCGCCUAACAAGAAGGAAGAAAUUAAAGAGCAAUGUAGAUGUUAGUGUAGGGUCAUAAAAAAGUUGUAAUGCAAUAUGUUUGAUAUAACAAAGCUGUCUUGUAUAUAUGUAGUUUGCGCUCGAGAAAUGCUUCAUGUAAUGCUGUAAAUUUGGUUUUAAGAUAGUUGAUUCUUCUUCUAAACAAUUGUACCAAAAUUUGUAGCAAGGAGUUUGAAAAAUACAUGUAGUCACUUUAGUUGUUGCUUUA